CGGAGGAUCCAAGCGUUGUCCGGAUUUAUUGGGUUUAAGGGUGCGUAGGCGGAUCUUUAAGUCAGUGGUGAAAGCCUGCAGCUCAACUGUAGAACAGCCAUUGAAACUGAAGAUCUUGAAUAUGGUUAAAGUAGGCGGAAUGUAUCAUGUAGCGGUGAAAUGCUUAGAUAUGAUACAGAACACCGAUAGCGAAGGCAGCUUGCUGAACCAUUAUUGACGCUGAGGCACGAAAGCGUGGGGAGCAAACAGGAUUAGAUACCCUGGUAGUCCACGCCCUAAACGUUGAUUACUCGUUGUUGGCGAUAUACUGUCAGCGACUAAGCUAAAGCGUUAAGUAAUCCACCUGGGAAGUACGACCGCAAGGUUG
rnacentral:rRNA from 1 species